rnacentral:piRNA from 1 species
ACUCAAAGAGAGAGAGUUAAAGCAAGGGG